rnacentral:tRNA from 1 species
GCGACAGUGGUGGAACGGUAGACACGCUAUCUUGAGGGGGUAGUGCCAAUAGGUGUGAGGGUUCAAAUCCCUCCUGUCGCACCA